CGGGAGGGCUGUCCAUGGGAACUUGCGGGCUGUCGGCAUCUUCCCCUCCCUCAAUGUCCUCAAAAACCUCUCCCUCCUCCUCUGAUACCUCUCCCUGAUCCACCUGGGGGAGCUGGGGCUCAACACCUAGCCUUCUUCUGAUUUCUUGACUAUUGUCUCCAUUUUGGUUAAUGACUGUGCCAAGGAUUAUACAAAAAGUGGAGCAUGUAGUGCUACUUCAGCCACUAGGUGGUGCUAGCACUAUGGCAGCUCUGGAGCACAAGCAAGACGUCUGGGGAAAAGGAAGAUGGAGGAGCAAGCAGGCUCCCAGCAAGUUGAUGAUAUUGGGAUGGUGGCCCAGCUUGCAAAGAACUUCCAGCUCUCCGGCAAAGUCUCGGUGAUCAUUCUCAGAGGCAAAUUCUGAAACACAGAUGGUAAUAUGAAGCCUGCAGCACUCGGCUAGGAAGAGCGAUCGAGAUCUGGCUUACUGACGAUCACAGACUCACCUUGGCACUCUGUUACCAUUACAGCGUGGGGGCCUGGGACACCUUCUCCUCCAUCUCCUGGGCGUGUUAGCUGAACCUUAACAAGAUAUAUUUGAAGUACAUUUCAUGCUCCCUACCAAGCACAGCAGCCAGAUACAAAACAGAGCAGGACUCCUGCGCCUUUAAUAGUGGUGUAGAAGAUGUUUCAGCAGAUGUAGCUCAUCCAUUGUGCUUGCUCCAGAAACUGCAGUUAGUGCAGAAUGCUGCAGCAUGAUUGCUGACAGAGAGUCUGCCAGUAUAUUACACCUGUGUUCAAAGAGCUGCACUAGCUGCCAAUUUGCUUCCAGACUGUAUUCAAGAUGCUUACUGUUGGUACAGAAAGACCUUAAUGGUUGGGACCAAUUUUCUUAAGGGAUAGCCUUGCUCCAUAUAUGCCAACUUGCUUACUUCAGUCUGCAGAACUGGCACUUCUACAAGUGUCACACAAUAUUUGUUCUGUGUUUGUAAGGAGUCAUGCCUUUCGUUUGGCAGCACCUGUACUUUGGAACUCCCUGCCUGUUGACAUUAGGCAGGAACCAUCAUUGUAUUAGUUUAGACUAUCCAGACUAGGGAUGGGGCUCAUUGCUUAUCUGUGCUGGUUUAGCGUGCAGUCACGCCUCUUGUUACACUGGUUCAGAUCAGUCUUGGCCCAUCGCAAAAAUAUAAUUAGCGAUCUUGACUCCUUUGCUGAACUUCGACCUGCAAAGUUUGAAAAGGUCCUCACUGUUCUCUACUCUCCUGUCCCAAACCUGUCUGCUCAGAAGUAUGCUCUAUGGAAAUCAAUGCAGCUUAUUCCUGGGAAAGUGGUAUACUUGUUAAAUAGUCCUACAGCUUCAAAGGCUUUAGCACACAGCCAGAUAACAGUAGUAGUAGGAGAACAGACUCUUCAAACACAUAUUUAAACACUUCAGAUCUGGUGGGAACUACAAAAAUAAUAGGGAGAUAGCAGAGAUGCAAGUCUAAGGCUAAGCUUAAGAACAGUGACUAGAAUUUCAGCAUGGAAAAGUUUUUUUAAAAAUUGGUACUGCAGCCUGAUCAUGAGCACUCACUGGGGAGCCACCAGAUUGUUUUGUUUGUGAGCAUGUGAGUUCUAUCCAAGCUUGCUCAUUUGUUCGCUUUUAAUUAACUUUGUCACCAUGCCUAAUCCAGAAACAUUAAUUGGUUACAUGUUUUAUUAGUCUUUAGAUGCUUUUAA